CCCCAAGCCUCCACAUCUGCCACAAUUGGGCAGAGCUCAAAAAGAGCCAAUGUGGUCGAAAAACCUUGUAUAUAAUUGUCUGUGGUUGGCCAAUUUCCCCAGAGCCACUCGUCACAAAAAAUUCCAUUUAAGGAGAAAUUUCUGCCACAUAAUAAAAUCUACAGUAGCGUGUGUAUCUAAUGUGAUUCGGCGACUUUCAUUAUGGAGACCAGGAAAUAGG